UUGAGUAGCCAAUCAGAAUGUAGGAUUUGUAAUAGACAAUAGUCAGGUGUAUACUAAUUUCGGAUAGUAAACGGAGCCAGCAGACCUAAUUGAUCAAAUUGAUCAGACUGCAACACCGGCGGAGUGCUUUGUUACAGGAAGCAUUUUGACGAAGUCCGUUAAUUUACCUAAAUCAUACUAGAAAACAUCGUUUUCAGUAUCCCAUGGUAUUCCCAGGAUAUUAACCGAUAAAUGUUCAACUUCUGCUGUUGAUAUGUUACUUCUUGAUCGUUAUGUUCUGCAGUGUUUGGAAAGCAUUCGCAAGUUAAAUGAUGGUCGGUUCCAAACAACAAACCUGUUGCUCGCUAAUUUCAACCUAUUCAAUACCACACUCGUUCUCGAGGGGUUCCACGAUCUGUGGUAACACCUCUUCACACGCUUUUGUAUGUUGUUUCCUUCUGUACGAAGCCCGAAUCCACCGUCUGUGAUUAUUUCUUUUGACAUAUCGUAAAUUUUGAUUGUUUGAUCAUCCGCCAAGUUCAGUCAUCAAUAACUCGCAAAUGUUGCUGUUGCUUGAAGACAUUCAGAAUAUUCUUUCAUAAGUUCGGUCCUUCAACGGAUUAUGCGUGUGUCGUAGUCUACUCAUACACAGGAUGAAUACUCACUCGCGAUCGGUCCCUUCAAUGAAGAAAACGAGGAUUUGAACUUGUCAAAUCGUUGAAUGAUGUUUGAAAAUUUUUCCAAAAUUGGACGUGCCAUCGACACGACUGACUGUGUCACAGUACAUUCCUAGUACUGCAAAUCAUUUUGUUUGACUGUUUCAUGCACAGAAUGUUCAUACUUCCACUGCAAAGAGUUGAUUGGUGUAUGGAACAUGUGAGAAAUCCCUUUGACGUACACUAACACAUAAAAGACCACUAUUAAGCAAACGUUGACGGAAAGAUUUUUAAUGAUGCAUUUGACUGACUGUGUCACAGUACAUUCCUACUACUGCAAAUCAUUUUG
rnacentral:lncRNA from 1 species